rnacentral:rRNA from 1 species
GACGAACGCUGGCGGCGUGCCUAACACAUGCAAGUCGAGCGGAGAGGAGAAAGCUUGCUUUCGAAUCUUAGCGGCGGACGGGUGAGUAACGCGUGAGCAACCUGCCUUUCACUGGGGGAUAACGCAUCGAAAGAUGUGCUAAUACCGCGUAAGACCACAGCAUCGCAUGGUGCAGGGGUCAAAGGAGCAAUCCGCUGAUAGAUGAGCUUGCGUCUGAUUAGAUAGUUGGUGGGGUAACGGCCUACCAAGUCGACGAUCAGUAGCCGGACUGAGAGGUUGAACGGCCACAUUGGGACUGAGAUACGGCCCAG